UGUACAGUUAAUUCCCUGGUAAAUCCAUCAUUUUUUGUUUAAUUAAAUUACAUUUAUUUGUAUUCCUCAAAAUUGGGUUUAACCGGUUUUUGGGUUUUGGGUUUCUUUUGAAAAACGCGCUCUUUGGUUGGAUACUUGUUGUAAGCCUUUCAUCAUGUGUUUUACCGGUUACUUAUGCAACUAUUGAAUAAAUGUGUUUCUGAAUUUAUUUCAUUGUGAUUUUAAUUAAUUUUGCCAAUUGAUUUGGAUAAAUUGUGACUGUCUUUCAUUAAGUUAAUGGUUAAAUGGUCGAAUUAAUCUUAGUCCUGUUUACAAUUAACUUUGAUUAAAGCUAACCUUCAAACUAAUCCAGUGUCUUGACUGUCUCAACUCUUAUUUGUGUGGAUCAACGUUUUUUAUUAAUAAAUGUAUCGUACAAUUGUACAAUUGUAUCUUAAUUAACUGGCAUCUCUCGACUAUGAUACUGUUGCUUCUGUGAUUGUAGGUUAAUUGCUUGACGUUACUUUGGUGUAGUAUAAGAAGGAAAAUUGUCUUCGAUGCUUUCAACUGAAAAAAUGGAAACCAUGCUUUCGCGAACCUUUCCAACGUAAUAUUACUCAAAAUUUUGUCUCGUUUCAGAUUUUCCUAUUUUUUAUUAUUUUAUGUCUCUGUAUUUUCAUCAAACUAAUGAAGACAAUUUUUUUGACUCAAGCAGAUCAAAUUUCAGUCUGAUAGUUGAAUUACAUAAUAAUUUAUUACAAGCACCACUUUGCAUGACAACAAUUUUUUCUCUUAUUUCUCGUCUGAUGUUUCAAAAUGUUUCAAUAUUACUAGAAAUUUGACUUUUAAAGUUUGUCUUUUUAUACAGUGAUGAGCAAUUUUGAUGUUUUUCUGAUGGUUCCUUGCCUAGAAGAUGAAAUACUAAGUAUAUUGUACAUUGUAUAUUGAAUUAUACUGAUUGCUUAUCAUUAUUAUUGCCAUUUGGUAAUGACCAUUUCUCAGGCAAGAAAUGUAGAGGAAAAAAAGCUGUCGAAGCCAUCAAACACAGAAUUUCAUUUCCAAAGGAAAACUAAAAAAUCUGAACGUCCAUCUAUUUAAUAAAACUAAUUGAGCGAAUAAUGUUUCAUUCAAUAUGGACUUUAUUUAUUUCGUCUAACUAGUUAUUAAAUUGAUACGUUUAGUUGAUUCAUA